CAUAGAUUGGGGUCAGGUUUGUCCACUCCGUCAAUGCUCCUAAGCCAGUAUGUCUCAGCAAGUGAAGCCGAGCCCUCGGGAAUAUCGUCCAUGACACUCUCGUGCCCUUUCGGGAAGUAUAUCCCUGUCCUCGGAUGAGAUUUUUCUUGCUGCUGCUCAAUUCCAGUGAAUCUACUCAUAGUUCUACGGGCCUGCUUCGGCUGCUUCAAUGAGCUGCAUCAAGUUGCCAAGUUGCCCUUCAAUUCAUUUAUCAAUGAGGCAUGUACAUCUCUGUAUAUCACCAUCAGCCGAUACUCUUAUCCUAAGGUUCUUUGAAUCAGAAGCAUUUCUGCUGGUUGUGCAAAGAAGUUGAUAUCGACAUGUAACCAUGGGGUUGUCAUGAAGUGUUUCCCCGAGAAAUUUGGGGCACGUUUAGAAAGCAAUUUGCACCUUGAAGUCAUAACUGUCUGCAAGUUCUGCAAACUUUCUAAUGAUAUGUAGAGAAACAGCAAUAACACAAGAUUCUAUUGCAAA